UACGUAGGGGGCUAGCGUUGUCCGGAAUCAUUGGGCGUAAAGCGCGUGUAGGCGGCCCGGUAAGUCCGCUGUGAAAGUCCAGGGCUCAACCCUGGGAUGCCGGUGGAUACUGUCGGGCUCGAGUCCGGAAGAGGCGAGUGGAAUUCCUGGUGUAGCGGGUGAAAUGCGCAGAUAUCAGGAGGAACACCAAUGGCGAAAGGCAGCUCGCUGGGACGUGA
rnacentral:rRNA from 1 species